rnacentral:lncRNA from 1 species
CUCUGUGUCUUUGGACAAGCCGCUUUAUCUCCUGGGCCGCGAUUUUCUCAUCUGUAAGUGGGGAGUAAUCACAGUAUCUACCAAGCAGGGUUUUUCUAAGGAUUCAAAGAGGCGAUUUACGAAAGGGCUCUGAAAAAUGCUGAGCAAAUAUUAACUAACAAUAAGAUUAUAAUGAAACAAAAUAAUACAGUUCAAACUGUAUUUCCUCUCCAGGAUCCCACUGACUCCUCACAACAGCACUAUUUUGAGGUGUGCCUGUGAUUCUCCCCAUUUUCCAGAUCGGUAAACUAGGGCCUGGGUCAAGGGCGGAAGUUGCCCAAAGUUAAACAGGAAGUGGGGGGACCGGACAAACAGCAGAGCCACAGGCUCUCCCCGCACCAGACAGUUUUUCAGCCUGCGGCUUUUCUGACCCAGCCUCCAAAUGGACUUCGUUCUCCUGGCUCCGUGAGAGUGCACCGGCUCCAUUCCCCGCCCUCGGUUUUUGUUUUUCCUUUUUGUUGUAAUUCUCACUGGUGGAAAUCAAAUGAUUGUUUUUCUUGCUUGUUAUCCAUCUCUCCCACAAGAAUAUCAGUUCCGGGAGGACAAGGUCCUUGUCUUUUAUGUUCAUCAGAAAAUUUAAAGCAGGUCUUCAGUAAAGAGCUAGGGAAGGAUUCGAUUAUCUUCCAAUUAUUAAUGAAGCUUGGAGUCCAGCGGCGCCACCUGUGAUGCAGUGCCCUAUUCAAGCCAGCAGAUGGCAGCAGAGAACAAGCAACGGCUGGAGCGGGGCUUGAAGCGGGCUCCCUGGCAACGGCGCAUCCUGCCGAUAAGGAACUGUGCGAGGAAGAUGCAGUGAGCCCCGCGGCCGGCCGACACCGCUGCUAUCAGCCUGCCCAUCGCCCAGCCAGAGGCGGCAGCUGCUGCCCCUUCCCUGCUGCCCCCUCCCCACUCCAACCUCCUGUCACCCAGCUCUUCCCUUUCUCCUGCCACGUCCCUGCCCCCUGCCCUGCCCGCACCUCCCCCCCACCCACAGUCCGGGCAGAUCUCCAGCUCUGCUUGGAGGCUGUAUCUGGAGGAGAAUGGGGUGAGGCCGAGUGUUGCAUUCUCAGCAGCCCCUCCCCUCCCACCUCCCUGCCUUCACCUGUUCGGGUCCUUCUGUCCAGCCUUCCGUUUGUAGAUUCUGUUUUGUCUUUCAUGUCCCAGCCCACCGUGUCCCUCCCUGGCCUCCUCUGAUGACAUAUGAAUCCCCCGGCACCCAGUCCAGAGCCCGACAAGAUAGCAUCAACUCAGGGAAUAAAGAAGUCCGCUACAUAUGAACCUUCAAGUUGCGAACUUUCAAAGAUGCAACUGUGCAUCUGGUUCCAACAAGGAACAAGAACCUGUGUCAUCCGUGUCAGUGCCUGCAUGCUGAAUCGCUUGUCAUGUCCUACUUGUUGCGACCCAGGGAAGAUCCCCUGGAGGAGGGCCUAGCAACCCACUCCAGUAUUCUUGCCUGGACGACCCCAUGGACAGAGUGACAUUGCAGCUGGCCCUCCGUUUCCUACUGCUGAUGAUCCUUUAGUUCUACCGUCUCCUACCUCCUCUCCCUGCUCCAUUCGGUAGUAACUCUUGCCUGUUCACUCAAUGCCAGCCCCUGUAUGCCAGCUGUUGUUCUGUACCCUGUACUUUUCAAGGUACCGUACUGUAAGAUUAAAAAUGUUUUCUUUAUUAUGUUUUUAAUGUAGUAUUUGUAUGAAAAGUAUUAUAAGCCUAUUACAGUACAGUACUAUAAAGCCUAUUGUGUUAGCUGGGUACCUAGGCUGACUUUGUUGGACUUAUGAACAUGCUGUCAGAACAGAGCUCAUUUGCAUGUAAGGAACUUACUGGAUCUAAUGAAUGGAUGAAUAAAUGAACGAAGCCGACAAGCAACCCUGAGUUUGGAACAGAGGCUCCUAUACUGGUUUUAGGAACCAAGCAAGCAGAUGAUUCACUUUCUCUGUGCCUCAGUUUCCUCAACUACACAUCAGGAGCACCCAUCACUCUGCCCGGGGAAUGGGUAUGGUCCCUGCCACCCCCCAGUAGGGCCCCGAGGGGCACCCAUAGUGCAUUCAGC